rnacentral:tRNA from 8 species
GGGCCCGUCGUAAAGUGGUAUUAUACGGCAUUCGCAUUGCUGGGUCGGGAGUUCGAUUCUCCCCGGGUCCACCA